rnacentral:tRNA from 1 species
GAAAUAUGAAAAUUCAAGAAUAAGCUUCUAACUUAUAUCUUAAGCAGUGUAAAUCUGUUUAUAUUUCU